AAAGCAGGUCUGCAAUUGCAGCACUUCGUUGAUGUGAAAUGCUGUCAUUAACCCUGCUGAGAGUACACUUCGGCUUCAGAGAUCAUCUUCUUCUCUGAGGGGGAAGAAGCUCCUCUGUUGCUGAAACACUA